rnacentral:tRNA from 1 species
GCCCCGGUGGCGAAAUGGCAGACGCUGCGGACUUAAAAUCCGCUGCCGCGAGAGCGGCGUGCCGGUUCGAGUCCGGCCCGGGGCACCA